rnacentral:rRNA from 1 species
AGGAGACUUCGGUCUCUGAGUAGAGCGGCGCACGGGUGAGUAACGCGUGGAUGAUCUACCCUUGAGUUCGGGAUAACGGUGCGAAAGCGCCGCUAAUACCGUAUAACAAUCCAUUUCAUCGUGGGUUCAAAGCAGGCCUCUUCAUGAAAGCUUGCGCUUGGGGAUGAGUCCGCGUCCCAUUAGCUUGUUGGCGGGGUAACGGCCCACCAAGGCUACGAUGGGUAGCUGGUCUGAGAGGAUGAUCAGCCACACUGGAACUGAAACACGGUCCAGACUCCUACGGGAGGCAGCAGUGGGGAAUAUUGCGCAAUGGGGGAAACCCUGACGCAGCGACGUCGUGUGAGGGAAGAAGGCCUUCGGGUCGUAAACCUCUGUCAGAAGGGAAGAACAUCCGGGAGUCGAACAGCCUCCCGGCCUGACGGUACCUUCAGAGGAAGCGCCGGCUAACUCCGUGCCAGCAGCCGCGGUAAUACAGAGGGCGCAAGCGUUAAUCGGAAUCACUGGGCGUAAAGCGUGCGUAGGCUGUUCGAUAAGUCAGACGUGAAAUCCCUCGGCUCAACCGGGGAACUGCGUUUGAUACUGUUGAACUAGAGUCCUGGAGAGGGUGGCGGAAUUCCUGGUGUAGGAGUGAAAUCCGUAGAUAUCAGGAGGAACACCGGUGGCGAAGGCGGCCACCUGGACAGGUACUGACGCUGAGGUACGAAAGCGUGGGGAGCAAACAGGAUUAGAUACCCUGGUAGUCCACGCGGUAAACGAUGGAUGCUAGGUGUCGGGGAGCGAUCUUCGGCGCCGCAGCUAACGCAUUAAGCAUCC